GACGAACGCUGGCGGCGUGCUUAACACAUGCAAGUCGAACGAUGAAGCGGGUGCUUGCACUCGUGGAUUAGUGGCGAACGGGCGAGUAACACGUGAGUAACCUGUCCUUUUCUUUGGGAUAACGGCUGGAAACGGCUGCUAAUACUGGAUAUUCAGGCUGCAUCGCAUGGUGUGGUUUGGAAAGGUUUUUUCUGGGAUUGGGUGGGCUCGCGGCCUAUCAGCUUGUUGGUGGGGUGAUGGCUUACCAAGGCUUUGACGGGUAGCCGGCCUGAGAGGGUGGUCGGUCGCACUGGGACUGGGAUACGGCCCAGACUCCUACGGGAGGCAGCAGUGGGGAAUAUUGCACAAUGGACGAAAGUUUGAUGCAGCGACGCCGCGUGGAGGGUGUAGGCCUUCGGGUUGUGAACUCCUUUUUCUCGCGAAAAAGGCACAGUUUUGGCUGUGUUGAUGGUAGUGGGGGAAGAAGCGCCGGCUAACUACGUG
rnacentral:rRNA from 1 species